GGGUUGUGAGGUUAAGCGACUAAGCGUACACGGUGGAUGCCCUGGCAGUCAGAGGCGAUGAAGGACGUGCUAAUCUGCGAAAAGCGUCGGUAAGGUGAUAUGAACCGUUAUAACCGGCGAUGUCCGAAUGGGGAAACCCAGUGCAAUUCGUUGCACUAUCGUUAACUGAAUACAUAGGUUAACGAGGCGAACCGGGGGAACUGAAACAUCUAAGUACCCCGAGGAAAAGAAAUCAACCGAGAUUCCCCCAGUAGCGGCGAGCGAACGGGGAGCAGCCCAGAGUCUGAAUCAGCUUGUGUGUUAGUGGAACGGUCUGGAAAGUCCGACGGUACAGGGUGAUAGUCCCGUACACCAAAAUGCACAGGCUGUGAACUCGAAGAGUAGGGCGGGACACGUGGUAUCCUGUCUGAAUAUGGGGGGACCAUCCUCCAAGGCUAAAUACUCCUGACUGACCGAUAGUGAACCAGUACCGUGAGGGAAAGGCGAAAAGAACCCCGGCGAGGGGAGUGAAAAAGAACCUGAAACCGUGUACGUACAAGCAGUGGGAGCACCUUCGGGUGUGACUGCGUACCUUUUGUAUAAUGGGUCAGCGACUUAUAUUCUGUAGCAAGGUUAACCGUAUAGGGGAGCCGCAGGGAAACCGAGUCUUAACUGGGCGUUAAGUUGCAGGGUAUAGACCCGAAACCCGGUGAUCUAGCCAUGGGCAGGUUGAAGGUUGGGUAACACUAACUGGAGGACCGAACCGACUAAUGUUGAAAAAUUAGCGGAUGACUUGUGGCUGGGGGUGAAAGGCCAAUCAAACCGGGAGAUAGCUGGUUCUCCCCGAAAGCUAUUUAGGUAGCGCCUCGUGAAUUCAUCUUCGGGGGUAGAGCACUGUUUCGGCUAGGGGGUCAUCCCGACUUACCAACCCGAUGCAAACUACGAAUACCGAAGAAUGUUAUCACGGGAGACACACGGCGGGUGCUAACGUCCGUCGUGAAGAGGGAAACAACCCAGACCGCCAGCUAAGGUCCCAAAGUCAUGGUUAAGUGGGAAACGAUGUGGGAAGGCACAGACAGCCAGGAUGUUGGCUUAGAAGCAGCCAUCAUUUAAAGAAAGCGUAAUAGCUCACUGGUCGAGUCGGCCUGCGCGGAAGAUGUAACGGGGCUAAACCAUGCACCGAAGCUGCGGCAGCGACACUAUGUGUUGUUGGGUAGGGGAGCGUUCUGUAAGCCUGCGAAGGUGACCUGUGAGGGUUGCUGGAGGUAUCAGAAGUGCGAAUGCUGACAUAAGUAACGAUAAAGCGGGUGAAAAGCCCGCUCGCCGGAAGACCAAGGGUUCCUGUCCAACGUUAAUCGGGGCAGGGUGAGUCGACCCCUAAGGCGAGGCCGAAAGGCGUAGUCGAUGGGAAACAGGUUAAUAUUCCUGUACUUGGUGUUACUGCGAAGGGGGGACGGAGAAGGCUAUGUUAGCCGGGCGACGGUUGUCCCGGUUUAAGCAUGUAGGCUGGUUGUCCAGGCAAAUCCGGAUAAUCAAGGCUGAGGUGUGAUGACGAGGCACUACGGUGCUGAAGUAACAAAUGCCCUGCUUCCAGGAAAAGCCUCUAAGCAUCAGGUAACAUUAAAUCGUACCCCAAACCGACACAGGUGGUCAGGUAGAGAAUACCAAGGCGCUUGAGAGAACUCGGGUGAAGGAACUAGGCAAAAUGGUGCCGUAACUUCGGGAGAAGGCACGCUGGUGUGUAGGUGAAGCCCCUGCGGGUGGAGCUGAGACCAGUCGAAGAUACCAGCUGGCUGCAACUGUUUAUUAAAAACACAGCACUGUGCAAACACGAAAGUGGACGUAUACGGUGUGACGCCUGCCCGGUGCCGGAAGGUUAAUUGAUGGGGUUAUCCGUAAGGAGAAGCUCUUGAUCGAAGCCCCGGUAAACGGCGGCCGUAACUAUAACGGUCCUAAGGUAGCGAAAUUCCUUGUCGGGUAAGUUCCGACCUGCACGAAUGGCGUAAUGAUGGCCAGGCUGUCUCCACCCGAGACUCAGUGAAAUUGAACUCGCUGUGAAGAUGCAGUGUACCCGCGGCAAGACGGAAAGACCCCGUGAACCUUUACUAUAGCUUGACACUGAACAUUGAGCCUUGAUGUGUAGGAUAGGUGGGAGGCUUUGAAGCGUGGACGCCAGUCUGCGUGGAGCCAACCUUGAAAUACCACCCUUUAAUGUUUGAUGUUCUAACGUUGGCCCCUUAUCGGGGUUGCGGACAGUGUCUGGUGGGUAGUUUGACUGGGGCGGUCUCCUCCCAAAGCGUAACGGAGGAGCACGAAGGUUAGCUAAUCCUGGUCGGACAUCAGGAGGUUAGUGCAAUGGCAUAAGCUAGCUUGACUGCGAGCGUGACGGCGCGAGCAGGUGCGAAAGCAGGUCAUAGUGAUCCGGUGGUUCUGAAUGGAAGGGCCAUCGCUCAACGGAUAAAAGGUACUCCGGGGAUAACAGGCUGAUACCGCCCAAGAGUUCAUAUCGACGGCGGUGUUUGGCACCUCGAUGUCGGCUCAUCACAUCCUGGGGCUGAAGUAGGUCCCAAGGGUAUGGCUGUUCGCCAUUUAAAGUGGUACGCGAGCUGGGUUUAGAACGUCGUGAGACAGUUCGGUCCCUAUCUGCCGUGGGCGCUGGAGAAUUGAGGGGGGCUGCUCCUAGUACGAGAGGACCGGAGUGGACGCAUCACUGGUGUUCGGGUUGUCAUGCCAAUGGCACUGCCCGGUAGCUAAAUGCGGAAGAGAUAAGUGCUGAAAGCAUCUAAGCACGAAACUUGCCCCGAGAUGAGUUCUCCCUGAGACUUUAAGUCUCCUGAAGGAACGUUAAAGACGAUGACGUUGAUAGGCCGGGUGUGUAAGCGCAGCGAUGCGUUGAGCUAACCGGUACUAAUGAACCGUGAGGCUUAACCUUACAACGCCGAAG
rnacentral:rRNA from 1 species